rnacentral:lncRNA from 1 species
GCACUUUGAAGACACAACACUUAGCAUCAAUAAAGUUGCACACAAAGAGAGUAUGGAAUAAGAUAACUCUCACUUCUAAUACCCAUUACUUAUAGGUAGUGGUUGUUAUCCUAAAAGACAACUUCUACUCUUUGAUUUUUAUACAGGUGGCUUUAGGAUCCUUUUGGCAUCUCAUGAGCCUCGAGGAUAUCCUAUAACACAUACUAAUGACUCAUACUUAGUCUUUGGAUAUUUUCUUGUUAAUACUUUAUCCUUUUGACUUUGACUCUUGGUCCAUGACUUCGUCCUAUUGUCACGGACACAGAAAUACAGACUUGAGAUCUAACAAGAAAUUCAAGAAGAACUGACAAGAACUAAAUUAAUCAGAUGAAUACAAGAAUAACACCAGAGAGGUGAGCUAGAGCUCCAAG